UACACCUACACCUCCGUGAUGACGGUAAGUGUCCCAAGUGUUUUGCUUAAUAGAGUUUUGUUGUGAUGCCAUGUUGUAUAUAUCUAGACAUAUCGUGCAUAAUGUGUGUAUGUUUGAAAUGCAUUGUAUGUGUGGGAUUCGACACCUAGUCGUGUGCCUUUGGUAGCCUUCCAUAUAGGGAAAUGCCUCCUAGUGCUUCCACUGAGCCAUGGUAGUUCGCUACUGCUCCGGAACACAUGGAUUGACCGGCAUGUGUCCUUCUUUGCUCCUCUGUCUGUCCCUACGGGGAAAUGUCACGCGGUGUAUCACCGAAGUCCUUGUAGCUUGCUACGACUUGGUUGCACUCGCUGAUGACCGACACGUGCAUUGCUGGGUCAUGUAUGCCUGUCCCUGUACGUUUGUGCCACCUUGGUUCUAUGACUAGUCAUGUCGGCCCGGGUUCUCUGCCAUAUGGAUACUAGCGACAUAAUCAUAUACUUAGCAUUUUUUCCUCCAAAAUGACUCAAUAUGCUUACCUAGCUCAAAAAUGACUUAAUAUGCUUAGCUAGCAUAAAAAUGACAUAUACUUAGCAUUUUUCCUCCAAAAUGACUUAAUAUGCUUAGCUAGCAUAAAAAUGACCUAUUUAACCUAGGAUAGCUCUAAAAUGACCUAUACUUAGCAUCUUUUCCUCAAAAAAGACUUAAUAUGCUUAGCUAGCUCUAAAAUGAUAUAGUAUGCUUAAGAAAUGACAUAUUUUAGGUCCUAAAUGACUUCAUAUGCUUAGGUAGCUCCAAAAUGACAUAAUAACCUUACUUAGCUUCAAAAUGACCUAUUCAACCUAGGCUAGCUCUAAAAUGACCUAUACUUAGCAUUUUUUCCUCCAAAAUGACUUAAUAUGCUUAGCUAGUUCAAGAAUUACAUAAUAAGCUUAAUUAGCUCCAAAAUGACCUAUUUAACCUAGGAUAGCUCUAAAAUGACCUAUACUUAGCAUUGUUUCCUUCAAAAUGACUUAAUAUGCUUAGCUAGCAUAAAAAUGACCUAUUUAACCUAGGAUAGCUCUAAAAUGACCUAUACUUAGCAUCUUUUCCUCAAAAAAGACUUAAUAUGCUUAGCUAGCUCUAAAAUGAUAUAGUAUGCUUAAGAAAUGACAUAUUUUAGGUCCUAAAUGACUUCAUAUGCUUAGCUAGCUCCAAAAUGACAUAAUAACCUUACUUAGCUUCAAAAUGACCUAUUCAACCUAGGCUAGCUCUAAAAUGAACUAUACUUAGCAUUUUUUUCCUCCAAAAUGACUUAAUAUGCUUAGCUAGUUCAAGAAUUACAUAAUAAGCUUAAUUAGCUCCAAAAUGACCUAUUUAACCUAGGAUAGCUCUAAAAUGACCUAUACUUAGCAUUCUUUCCUUCAAAAUAACUUAAUAUGCUUAGCUAGCAUAAAAAUGACCUAUUUAACCUAGGAUAGCUCUAAAAUGACCUAUACGUAGCAUCUUUUCCUCAAAAGAGACAUAAUAUGCUUAGCUAGCUCUAAAAUGAUAUAGUAUGCUUAAGAAAUGACAUAUUUUAGGUCCUAAAUGACUUCAUAUGCUUAGCUAGCUCCAAAAUGACAUAAUAACCUUACUUAGCUUCAAAAUGACCUAUUUAACCUAGGCUAGCUCUAAAAUGAACUAUACUUAGCAUUUUUUCCUCCAAAAUGACUUAAUAUGCUUAGCUAGUUCAAGAAUUACAUAAUAAGCUUAAUUAGCUCCAAAAUGACUUAUUUAACCUAGGAUAGCUCUAAAAUGACCUAUACUUAGCAUUGUUUCCUUCAAAAUAACUUAAUAUGCUUAGCUAGCAUAAAAAUGACCUAUUUAACCUAGGAUAGCUCUAAAAUGACCUAUACUUAGCAUCUUUUCCUCAAAAAAGACUUAAUAUGCUUAGCUAGCUCUAAAAUGAUAUAGUAUGCUUAAGAAAUGACAUAUUUUAGGUCCUAAAUGACUUCAUAUGCUUAGGUAGCUCCAAAAUGACAUAAUAACCUUACUUAGCUUCAAAAUGACCUAUUCAACCUAGGCUAGCUCUAAAAUGAACUAUACUUAGCAUUUUUCCUCCAAAAUGACUUAAUAUGCUUAGCUAGUUCAAAAAUGACAUAAUAAGCUUAAUUAGCUCCAAAAUGACCUAUUUAACCUAGGAUAGCUCUAAAAUGACCUAUACUUAGCAUUGUUUCCUUCAAAAUAACUUAAUAUGCUUAGCUAGCAUAAAAAUGACAUAUUUAAGCUAGGAUAGCUCUAAAAUGACCUAUACUUAGCAUCUUUUCCUCAAAAAAGACUUAAUAUGCUUAGCUAGCUCUAAAAUGAUAUAGUAUGCUUAAGAAAUGACAUAUUUUAGGUCCUAAAUGACUUCAUAUGCUUAGGUAGCUCCAAAAUGACAUAAUAACCUUACUUAGCUUCAAAAUGACCUAUUCAACCUAGGCUAGCUCUAAAAUGACCUAUACUUAGCAUUUUUUCCUCCAAAAUGACUUAAUAUGCUUAGCUAGUUCAAGAAUUACAUAAUAAGCUUAAUUAGCUCCAAAAUGACCUAUUUAACCUAGGAUAGCUCUAAAAUGACCUGUACUUAGCAUUGUUUCCUUCAAAAUGACUAAAUAUGCUUAGCUAGCAUAAAAAUGACCUAUUUAACCUAGGAUAGCUCUAAAAUGACCUAUACUUAGCAUCUUUUCCUCAAAAAAGACUUAAUAUGCUUAGCUAGCUCUAAAAUGAUAUAGUAUGCUUAAGAAAUGACAUAUUUUAGGUCCUAAAUGACUUCAUAUGCUUAGGUAGCUCCAAAAUGACAUAAUAACCUUACUUAGCUUCAAAAUGACCUAUUCAACCUAGGCUAGCUCUAAAAUGAACUAUACUUAGCAUUUUUUCCUCCAAAAUGACUUAAUAUGCUUAGCUAGUUGAAAAUUUACAUAAUAAGCUUAAUUAGCUCCAAAAUGACCUAUUUAACCUAGGAUAGCUCUAAAAUGACCUAUACUUAGCAUUGUUUCCUUCAAAAUGACUUAAUAUGCUUAGCUAGCUUCAAAAUGACUUAGUGUGCUUGCAUAAUCUUUGUUUGCAGCAGUGUGUGCUUCACCUAUAUAUAUUACUGUGAAUAAGGUAUAGGGUCACUCAUACAAAAGAGAGAGGGCCUUAGUACAUAUAAGCAAGGAGAAAUAUGACUAUAGAUUGGCAGGAAUAAGACUGGGCAUAAGAUGCCUGGUAGUGUGUCGUUAUAGUAUGCUCAAAAAUGACAUAAUAACCAUACUUAGCUCCAAAAUUACCUAUUUUACAGAUAUAAGUUGCAUCAUAAUAAUCUUCACAUUUUAGUUGCAUCAUAAUAAUCUUCUUCUUCUAACUUUCUUCUUUCCCAUUUUACAGAUUUGCUUAAGAUCACGGAAGCUUGGGUUGAUGGAGUGCUUGUAUUUAGUUUUUGUUUUGACCUUGUGAAACUUGCUACCUAUGGAUGAAACUGUGUAAUAUUGAUGAAACUAUGUAUUUGUACGGAUGAAACUUGCUACUAUUGGUAACAUGUGUUGGAUACAUAUGUGUUCAUGACUAUUGGUAAUAUGUGUUGAAUAUGCUAUAUUGGUCAUAUAAAUAUAUUUGUGUUUGAUUUUUGUGAAAAUGAAUUGAUAUAAGAAAAAACAAAAUUAAAU
rnacentral:lncRNA from 1 species